rnacentral:rRNA from 1 species
CGCCCGGUGGAUGCCUCGGCUCGGAAGCCGAAGAAGGGCGCGGCAAGCUGCGAAAAGCUGGAGGGAGGUGCAUGCAACCGUUGAUCUCCAGAUCCCCGAAUGGGAUAUCCUGCCGAAAGGCAUCC